GAAGGAAAGACACCUAGCCCGUGUUUUGCAUGCCGCUAUAAGCAUGUAAGUUAGUCAAGCCCGAGUACAGGAUAGCCGCUCGGUCAAACUUACAGUAAGUCUUCUUA
rnacentral:ncRNA from 1 species